GUUUAAUUAGUUUAUUAGCGAAAAUUAUAAAUUGUGGAUUUAUAGACGAAUUUAUUUCAUUAGACA
rnacentral:tRNA from 1 species